UCACGUAUAUGAUCAUUAAUAACAGUAUAAAAACAGUAAUAAUUGUUUGUGGUAACUAUGAUUGCAGCUGUCUGCAUCUACUGGGUAAAUAAUGCACAGCUGAUUGCAUAUGUGUGAUAAAAUUAGAUAACUGUACUUGCACUGGGUUCAUAUGCUGUCACGUACAAAAAGGUAGGUAGAUGUUUGUUGCUUUCUGCAAAAGCAAAAUUUGCUUCUUGCACAGUGAUGUAUGGUUAUGUUUGGUGCUUGUCUGUUCCCAAAGGUGAUAGGGCAGCUCUGCACGUGUUCUCUCUCCUGUAGGAGCUAAAAGGUUGUUUUACUGCUCACUACUCUGUCUGCCUUUACAGUUCUCCAAAACACUGUCCACCUUUCUGCUAUUAAAAAAUCUGCAUUUGAUGCAUUCAGCCUCUGUAAAUUCACUUUUCUAUUAGUUUCUUAUAUAGCAUUUUGGUAUUAACAUUGUAGGUUACUCCUAAAAAAAAGCCUUCUACUUAUUUCCACGGAGGGUAGAAAAGAUACAAAGAGCACAAGAGCGCUUUGAUAGAGCAACUUCUCAGAUAUGAAGUACUGUUUUUCAGUGUAGUCACAAUCAUCAGCUGAUUUGUGCAGCUGUCCAGAGUGUGGCUUGUCUGUCACCACUGCUGGUCUCCAUAAGGGUUCAGCAAGGACUGUUAGAUGUCAGUGGGUGCAAGCUUCAAGACAUGCAGUUUUCAACUCCACACCUUUGCUCCAUAUGCUCUUCCAUGUCAGGUGCUGUUUUUCAGACUGCUCCUCUGCUGCCAUCUGACACAUGGCAACAAUGUGGGAUGGAAUGGAAUAUUGGUGGGAAGCUUCAACCUCUGUUGCCAUACUGUUAGCAUUCAUUGGUUGUGGGCCAUUAUAAUAAAAUGGCAGGCAUUACUUUCAGUGCAGCCCUCAUACACCUCUGCUGGACAAUCCACAUUAUAGGACAGAUCUCUGCAGAACUGUAUUGGCAUCUUUCCUCCACUGCAGGAGUUAACCAUUAACUCACCCCUACCCACUCAGUCCCUUUCAUAUUUAUUAAUAAUUGAUCAGGCUUUACUAAUUAAGUUGUUCUUUCAAGCCUAAAGCUUCUUUUAAAAGUGCCUGAGACAUAAUUAGAAGCCCUUUGGAAAUCUGUGUCUUUAAUCAUCUGUGCGUUGCAAUCCACCCAAUGUGAUACUGGAGCUCCUUUUUUCUUCAGCUGAGAUUGCUCCCAUCCAAGAUGCUGGAAGACUACCACUGAGUAGGCAUUUCAGCAGCCACUCUGACUGAAACAUAUGCAAGUCUUCUUCAUCAUUAUCAAUAUAAACUUCCUCCAUGCUGAUUAUACUCUUGUUCAGUUUAAAUGGAAAACGAAAAACCUGAACUCUGGCCUCACCAAAUGUAUUACAAGACAACCUCAUACACUACCUUUUUUGAUAUUAAAAAACAAUGUUAACAACCACAUUCUGCUGUGCUGGUCCCACCACAGAAAUUGCACUUUCAUACACGCUAUGUUGCUCGUGGUCCUUUUUUGCUGCCAAAUAACAAAGUCUUGCAAGGGAAGGGGCACAGGACAGGUUGUAUCUACAAGGAGGAAGCUGCUGUCUGUCUCUCUCAGCAUGCAAGCACAGCAGUAAAAUCAGUAACACUGUAUGGCCAUCCUUGCUCUUUCCCUAUUUGGAGUUAAGAAUGGGCUUACACUAGCCCAGCGAACAACUACACCAAAGCAUAGGAUAUAGGAGCUACAACUCCACCACAGCAGGGAUUCAUAUAAACUUAUUUGAAAGAAGCAGGGCAGGGAUAGGGAAGAUGAAAGACCAAGCAAAGGGUAUUGAUAUUGUAGUUAUUUCUGUUAAUAAAAAACCAAACUCUAAGAAAAUGAGUAUUUCUGAACUUGUAUGAAUUUUGUUUGGAGUAUUCAAAAGCAAAAAAAAAAAAAAAAAUUGUAUGAUAAUAAGCUCCUCACACAAUCUCAGAACAAAUACAAUUCUCCUUCCCACUGUUCACUGUUUAUAGUAUUAUGAUGAGCUAUUUCUCAUUACUCAGAUUGCCUUCUAUCAUCUAUGCAGUGAUGAUUUCCACAUUUUCUUUAAGUGUGAUUAUAUUUAUUUGUAUUUCCAGAGUAAGAGGCUUGGCUUCCACUUUCAAUUUCAGAUAUUAAAGUUUACGAGAUAACUAAAAACCAUGCAAGCUCUAA